rnacentral:tRNA from 1 species
GCGCCGGUAGCUCAGUUGGAUAGAGCGUCUGACUACGGAUCAGAAGGUCAGGAGUUCGAAUCUUCUCCGGCGCACCA